rnacentral:rRNA from 1 species
GACGAACGCUGGCGGCGUGCUUAACACAUGCAAGUCGAACGGUGAAGCCCCUUCGGGGGUGGAUCAGUGGCGAACGGGUGAGUAACACGUGGGCAACCUGCCCCUGGCUCUGGGAUAACUCCGGGAAACCGGGGCUAAUACCGGAUACGACAUCGGGUGACAUCACGCGAUGUGGAAAGUUUUUCGGCCAGGGAUGGGCCCGCGGCCUAUCAGCUUGUUGGUGGGGUGAAGGCCUACCAAGGCGACGACGGGUAGCCGGCCUGAGAGGGCGACCGGCCACACUGGGACUGAGACACGGCCCAGACUCCUACGGGAGGCAGCAGUGGGGAAUAUUGCGCAAUGGGCGAAAGCCUGACGCAGCGACGCCGCGUGAGGGACGAAGGCCUUCGGGUUGUAAACCUCUUUCAGCAGGGACGAAGCGAAAGUGACUGUACCUGCAGAAGAAGC